GAUGAACGCUAGCGGCAGGCCUAAUACAUGCAAGUCGAGCGGCAAGUUGAGUAGCAAUACUUGACCUAGAGCGGCGCACGGGUGCGUUACGCGUAUGCAACCUACCUUAGACUGGGGGAUAGCCCGGAGAAAUCCGGAUUAAUACCCCAUAGUAUUAUUGAGUGGCAUCACUUGAUGAUUAAAGAUUUAUCGGUUUAAGAUGGGCAUGCGUAGGAUUAGCUAGUUGGUAAGGUAACGGCUUACCAAGGCUACGAUCCUUAGGGGUUCUGAGAGGAAGGUCCCCCACACUGGCACUGAGAUACGGGCCAGACUCCUACGGGAGGCAGCAGUAGGGAAUAUUGGGCAAUGGUCGGAAGACUGACCCAGCCAUGCCGCGUGCAGGAAGACGGCCCUCUGGGUUGUAAACUGCUUUUAUCAGGGAAGAAAAGGGCCAUGCGUGGCAAAUUGCCGGUACCUGAUGAAUAAGCACCGGCUAACUCCGUGCCAGCAGCCGCGGUAAUACGGAGGGUGCGAGCGUUGUCCGGAUUUAUUGGGUUUAAAGGGUGCGUAGGCGGCUGCUUAAGUCAGUGGUAAAAGGCACGGGCUCAACCCGAUGUAAGCCAUUGAUACUGGGYAGCUUGAGUUUUCUGAGAGUACAUGGAAUUGAUGGUGUAGCGGUGAAAUGCAUAGAUACCAUCAGGAACACCGAUAGCGAAGGCAUUGUACUUUGGAGCGACUGACGCUGAUGCACGAAAGCGUGGGUAGCGAACAGGAUUAGAUACCCUGGUAGUCCACGCCGUAAACGAUGAUUACUCGCUGUUAUUCUGUAAUGGAGUAGCGGCU
rnacentral:rRNA from 1 species